AACUCUUAGCGGUGGAUCACUCGGCUCGUGCGUCAGUAAGAACGCAGCUAGAUGCGAGAAAUAAUGUGAAUUGCAGGACACAUUGAUCAUCAACACUUCAAACGCACCCCGGGUUCCUCACCGCUUCCCCUCCACCGCGGGGGGAAGAGGUCGAUGAAGAGCGC
ensembl:rRNA 5_8S_rRNA 5.8S ribosomal RNA